rnacentral:lncRNA from 1 species
AGAAAACAUUUGGACGAGAAGAGAAGCGCAACAGAUAAGAAGAAGAAGCUCGAACCACCGUUGACCGGCUCAUGGUGGCUCCGAUAAACCGCCGGUCCAGUUAGUUUCAUUUUCUUAAUUUAGUGUGGAUCUGGUGUUUAGUUUUUGUGUAGGUUGUAGAUCUGGGUUUGCGAAAUAUGUCGUCUCGGGCUGCUCUCUUUUUAGGGGUCUCGUCGUCGACUGUGGUGGGUUAAGUGGUGAUUGUUCUCGUGGUUGGUCUGAACGGAAGUCUCUCUUGGUUUUUUUCCUUAAUCUUCAACCAAUGCUUUAAAAAGUUUUGAACUUUGGUCUUGUGAAGAAAGAACAAGUUUCAGAGGUGAAGAGCUUUGGCGAGUUUACAAGGAUCGAAGGAUCUGGUGUGCUAGUUGAAACAAAUCUUCCAAGCACCGGCAACAGUCGGUCUCUCUGCUUCCACCUCUCGUAUGUUCUUGGUGGACCCGAGUCAGUUCGGUGGCGUCUCUGUUGUGAUUCUCUUCCUAUAGUGGUGAUUGUAGUGAUUGUUAAUGAUGGUAUCUAUUAUGGGUUUUGAUCGUCGAGUUUUGAUUGUGUGAAGGUUUAUGGUGGCUUCUAUCUAGGUGUUAAGUGGACGUCAAAGAGUGUGUUCAAACCGUAUCUGAAAGUUGUGUGGAUCGUGAAGCGAUCCUUCUUGUCAGAUUGUGAAGCGAUCCUUCUUGUCAGAUUGUGAAGCUUGGGUUUUGGUUGUGAGUUGGGAUGGUAUCGUUCGGCAGGUUAUAGGCGGCAGCGAUAUGUCUGGAUUGAGAAGAUUUUGUGUCUUGGGUUUUACAAGUGGAUGAAAUCGGGUGGUUGUCUGAAGACAGAGCGAUUUAUCCAGAUCAUUGCUAUUUGCUAUUUAGGAGGUGUGUUGCAAUAGUUUGGGUAUGAAUGGUGACCGGGGAAUGAUGAGGAAUAAUGCAUUUUCUAACGUUCCUAUUAAAAAAUCAUCAUUCACAAGAAAUAAUAAUUCCCUCUCAUUCCCUUUCGUUCCUUUUUUUAUAGAGAAUUAAAGUACAAAAUUAUUCCUUGUUAAACUUGAGAAGAAACAACCAUUUUUUUUCAUUCAUGCUAUUUUUUUUCCGUAUAUUCCUUUUAUGUUUGUUCCUCUUGUUUCCCGAAUGGUCACCAGUCAGACCAUUUGUCUUUCGCUUAUAGGUUCUUUGUUUUAUCUUUAUUGUGUUCGUAAGUUGCCCCGUUGUGAGUUUUAGUUGCCUUUCUUUGAGCUUUUGUUUCUGAGGAAUUCAUAUGAUCCGCCAGUUUGUGUACUAAACAUUGUAUUUCACCGUUGAAUGAAUAUUAUCAGAUGGAAAAAAUUAAUAAUUAUAAAAAGAGUUUAGCUUUUAAAAAAAUAUAUUGAGUCGUUAACUUAAUUAAUACUAGGUGACUGGUCCGCACUCUGUGCGGGCAUAAGAAAAAUUAAAAUAUAGAAUAAAUAUUAUAUAGUUUUUAGAAGUAACAUAUUUUACAACAUAAUACCACCGUCUUUGGGGGAAUUCAUCAGUCAUGGAAAAAAGCUGGUAGUCAAUAUUUAAGUUGGACGAGAGGGAACACAGUAACGUCAGUAUGAAGAGACAGAUAUUGUGUGUAUGUAUAAUUGCAGCGUCACAAAAUAUUUUGUGUGUUUAAGAAGAUACUUUCAUUCAAAAAAUAGAAUAAUAGUGUAUAGUUU